GCUACUCUACUCCCUCCUGUUGCUGCAAGAUGGUGGUUUCCAAAAGAUGCUAGUCUUCGAUAGGCUAGGUUUUCCCCUUCCCUUCUAGCAUUCUGCAGUUUAGUCCACAGAUACAACCCAUUCCUUUGAUACAGAUGCAUACUUAGUUUAGAUCUAAUGCAAGUCUUGCGAGUACUUUGGAUGAGCACUCACGGUUGCUUUGCUACUUGUUUUCCCCCAUACCCGAUUGUUGCGACCAGAUAUCGGAUCCCAGGAGCCAGACGACGCCAGUGAUGACUACCACUACCUGGAGGAUGCCUACUACUACGUGACAACCGCUGACGAUUUGGAGUAGUUAGGAGGCUCCCAGGCAGGAGGCCUUGCCUUUUCGAUCGUUGCUGCUUUUGUGCUAGCCUUCUUAAGGCAACCUUGUUUAACUCAUGUCUGUACUGAGAUAUUGUUGCUUCCGCCGACUCUUGUGUUUUCGAGCUUAUGUAUUCGAGCCCUUGAGGCCCCUGGCUUGUAAUAUAAAGCUUGUAUUUAUUUAAUUUGUGUCUAGAGCUGUGUUGUGAUAUCUUCCCGUGAGUCCUUGAUCUUGAUCGUACACAUUUGCGUGUAUGAUUAGUGUACGGUCAAAUCGGGUGCAUCGCAAGUUGGUAUCAGAGUCGACUGCUUGUAGGUAGCCCCUUUUCCAACUCCUUGGCCGAAGUUGAGUCUAGUCACUGGAAAACUUUUACUAACAUUAGUUGUGUGUCUUACGGGCCCACGUCGCCAUAUGGGUGGUAUUAGGAUCUUUUAUUCCUCGUCUAUACUCUGGGACUCUGAUCUCUCUUCUAUUCGGGUUAAAAUGGUUUUACUAACUUGAACAUUAGGAUCUCGUGAUCACAUCCGCCCGGAGAGCCCCUUAUUUCAGAUGAUCGCCUGCUGCAUCAGAAGAUUCCGAAUAUACUCGACGAUUUUCUCUUGAGACUUUGUGCCUGUUGCCUUUGGAAUUCCCUACGACCGAAAUAUCCUUAUGGAUAACUACACACACUUACCAAUCUUACAUUCUAUCCCAUUGAUCUUGUUAUUACAAGAUGCCCUGAACUGCUCUCCUUUUUCGAGAAUCCUUUGAGCUUACUGCCUUGCAGUUCCUUGUCAUCUGAAUACCCCUACGGAUAACUUUGUGCACCUAUCGAGUAUCCGCUCACCCUCAGUUGAUUCUUGUACUUCACAAAAGUCUUCGAAAUACUAUUCAAUCUUUCGAAAAUCCUCAGCAACCUAUGGCUCUUGAAAUUCUUGCUUGCUUUCAUUAUGGUCAAUCCCAUAAGUCUAGUAAUCUUAUUGGCAUCCUUUGCCACAAUCAUUUUGAGUCCGUUGAUUCUAUCUGUGUGCGAAUGCACGCAAUCAUCAGUUGAUCUUUAUAAAUUAUCUUCCCGGCUCAGACGUCAUUUUGAACAUGAGCAGGGUCUCGACCAAUCAUAUUGCCAUCGAUUGUACCCCUAAGGCUAUUCAACUUAUCCAUCCCUAAUCAGAGCAUUGCUUCGGAUCCCUUGUCUUGGCAUUCAUAAUUCCUUUGCAUUUGAGCUAUGAGUUAGUCAGUUGAUUCUAUAAUCCGAUGCACUUGCAUUCCUUCUUCCUUUGAUAGAGUACCGACACUCACAUCGGAUCCCUUGUGGAUCACUAGACCCCUUUUUCGGAUUUUAUCCGACAACGUCCUUCAUAUUCAAUAAGCUUGUGAGCCUUUCCUCGGAUACAUAAUGCUUUUGGUAAAUUGUAUCCUCCGCUUUCUCAAGCAUGCUCUACUACCGAGCUUGUGUUAUUUAUUCUUGGAAUUUAUGAUAUAUGUUCCUAAGAUGCCUCGAUGGGUUGAACCUAUGCCUUCCCUAAUCUGUGUGAACUCGGGAGUUAUGCGGGUUAUACUCUACCGACUUUCGUCAGAUAAAAUUUCAAUACUACAGCUUUAUCAAGAGCGAGAAAUAAAAUGAAAGGUUAUGCAUUGUAGAAGUGGGAGUCGACCCUGAACCUUUGUGUUCAUGCCCACGGACAUGGUGUGGAACUUAUCAUGAAAGCUUCUUGCAAGGAUAUUUAAUCUUUUGAAAAAUUCUUCCGGUAUCGUAAAUUGGAUUACUUGCAUUUAUGGUCCCGACCAUAUUCCCUCCUUGAUCCCAUUUACUGGGUAAGUUAAAUUACUUGUCCUCUACAACUCAUUUCCCCCAUCCAACCUCUACUCUGAUUUACCUUCUGGCAUUGCACCUAAUACUUGAUACUGGGAAGCUUUAUAUCCCAUCACGUCAUUCCUAGCCUGAUCGGCUAUAUUGUUAUCGUGUCAACUUUUAACUGGGCUAUCUAGUCCUUAUGCCUGGAGCAACUUCCGACGAUGAGCUAAGCUUACGUCGAUCUUCCUCAUCUUAUCAUUUCACCUCGAACAACAAGCUUGACUUUGAGCUUGUGUCGAAUCCGUGGUUCUCUUAGCCUUUCACUUCAUCCUUCCUUUUCUGCUCGGUGGCAUCUUCUUAGAGUCUCUCGACAAAAUUUGUCUUGAUCACUGUCAACACUUUGGCUUCUUCAGAGAUGUCAAUUGAAUUCAUGGCUAGCAAUACCAUCCUUGCCUCUCGAUGACUUGUGUCAGCAUCAACAACAUUCUUGUCUUCCCCCCAACACAAACUUGAUCAUAUUAAUUUUGGGAAUACAUCCUUUUUGACCUGUCGAUGGAUUGCUAGUGAGCCCGUCGGCCACACCAUCAUCUUUUCCCUGCUAAAAUGGUAUGGCUUAUUUUCUAAGUUGUUUCCGAUGGAUCCUCGGUGUAUCCAAAGUCUGACCUUUGCUUGAGACCAUGCCAAUGCUAUCUCGAAGCAUAUAUAUUUUACUCCAAUUAUCAACAAGAACAUUUAAAGCCUAAUGUUAAAUGUUUCCUGCUCAAUUAUCCAAACACCGUUGUAUGGGUAAUAUCAUGAAUUCCCUCGCCCCUUUACCUAAUUGGUUAUCUACUUGCUGUCCUAUCAUGGAUGGGAAAGAUAUACUCCUGAUACUAGGGUAUAAUCAUAUUUUCCUUUCCAUUGUUUGGUUUAACCUUUCUUCUGAUCUAUAUGAUCUAAGUAGUAAUAUUCUCAUGCUUAUGUAAACACCUCGUUGUACAAUUCUGUCAGCAAGACCCUGUUACUAUUGUGAUGACCUUCUGGUAGCCACCGAUGGACGAGAACUUUGCCUAUUGGUCCGCCUCAUUCAACGAGCAGGAAAAUGGUUCUCUUCGUCCCUCACCCUUGGUACGAACGAUGCUGUCAACAUAAACUGCCCGGUUAUUCUCUGACAUGCCUUGCUUACAUGAUCGUGCAAGACGUCACCCCUCUUCCUACUAUUAUCCCACAUGGUGGGCCCAUAACCCACAGUUCCACAGGAUCGAAACCUGACUCUCCUGUACACCCCUGUUUCGAAAGUUAUUCCUCGCACUUGGCUUCGUAGGCAAUUCACGAGCCACCUUCCUACAUAUAGAUGCUGGUAUCCGGUGCAAUAUUAUUCUCGUUGCUUUGGACCCCUUUCACACUUUUUUUUAGGAAAUGAACGAUUGCCUACCUGCUUGAAACUUCCCAUGACACCUCCUUACUUGGCUCUCGAUAUUUUCUUAAGUUUCAAUUCGAGAGUUACUUUCUGCCACCUUCCCCGAUGUCAUCGACCAGAUAGUCAACCUUGUAGAGGUCUGUUCUUCUGGAAUACCCAUUCUUUAUUCUUUCGUAAGUACGAUGGAGUUCCUAAAGAAAGGAAGACGACUUAAUAAUAAUGACCUGAAGCAGUGGAAUGAAGACAUCAAUGUAAUGGAUCGAUCUCUGCGAGAAGAGCAACCAAGACCGAGAAGAUUCGUUAGAAUUUCGUAACCAGAUCUUUCCCCGUUACUUCACCUCUUAAAUCUCGGGACGAGAUUUCUUGUAGUAGAGGAGAUUUGUAACACCCCGAGUAUCAUGCUAUAGUAAUCCCCUGGGUUUAAUCUAAUCUUUUUUGGCUAAAGAACGCAUGAUCAUCUUUGAUCCUAUCUCAUUUCAAAUUCCACUUGAAUUCAAAUUCAAUUACUAAGUGAAAUUCAAAAUUUCACAAACAUGAGAGCUAAAAUGUUCUUCAUGUGGCAAAUAAUCAUUGGUUACUAUUGGUGGUGAGCCAACAUUUUUAUAAGGUGUUUCACUGCCCUAAACUAAAUAAAACAGUGUCCUAGUCUAUAAUUUUAUUGCCUUUCUAAUUGGUAAAAAUACUAAACUACUUUAAUUUUGUGGCAAGUUAAUUAUAGCAGUGGCCUAAGUUAAAAUGGUAUUUUAGGUGCAAGAUUAGUUUUUUUAUAAAACUAUUUUGCUUUCUGAAAAUAAAAGAAAACAGAAAAGUUGUUUUUUUUAAAUGUAAAAGAAGAGGUGGGAGAGAGAGAGAGCGCGCCCCCUGCCUUCCUUGGGCCUUGGCCCACCCAAGCCGGCCCAACCCAGCUGACCGGCCUAGCCGCCUCCCUUAUCCCCCACCACCCGCAAACACUAACCGAUCCACCCCCACUCCCACUCCCGCACGAUCCCCUCGAUCCCCCUCGCUCCUCUCCCCAACCCGACCCGAUCUGGAUCGGGAUCGGACGAACCACCCCGACCCCAUCACCGUCACCCCCUCGCCACCACCUCGACCCUGCGCCCCCUCUCCUCCCGCGCGGCAAGGCUCGAUCCCGUCACCGCCGGUGGGCUUCCCCGCCGACGCGAGGCCCCGCCGUUCACCGCAACGUCGCCGCCCGGAGCCCUACCUCGUCGGCAUGCCCGCGCCCGAGGAAUCGUCGCCCACCGCCAUCACCCGACGCCGCCUGGAGCUACCUCGCCCUCGAAGUCGCGCCCCGUCGCACGCCGUCCUCUCCGUCGCCGGUGCUGCCUCGCCGGACGUCCCCGAGCCCGUUGGCUUAGUCCCUGUGCCCCGCCGUGAGCAUCGCACCUCCCCCUCUCUUCCUCCCCCGCGCACGCGUUCUCCCCCGUGCUGUGCACCGCGCGCCCGACGCCGCGUCUGGCUGCGCUCACCGCCGCUACUCGCUUGCGCGUGCCUGCACUAGCCCUCACCACGACCACGCCCCUCCCUUCUUUCUCCCACGCGUGCUGCCGCCGCGGCCGUCUAUGCACGCCCGCGCUCCGGCUCCCUCUGCCUCCCGGCAGCGUCCCUCCACCGCACCCGCCCACACGCCGCUAGCGGCCCAUGCCCCCCUGCUGCUGCCUGUGGCUACACCGGCGCUGCCGCGCCGCCACCCCUCUUCUUGUCGCUGCUGGGGCCGCUUCUGUUGGCCCCGCGCUCCGCUGGUGGUGCUCUGCUGCCCUCCGGCCGAUGUCCCCCUCCGGCGACCGCACGGCCUCGCCGACCUCGUUCGCUAUGGCGCCUCUGGACGUGCGCCCGAUCGGUCGCGCCCGAAACCCGUCGCCCGCACCCGCUAUGGCCCUGGGCCACUGACACAUGGGGCCCGCCCAGAAACGUUUUUGUUAAAAUAAAUAAAUAAAUAUAAAUAAAUAAAAUUAAUUAAUUAAAGAGUUAAUUAACUUAAUUAUUUUUGAUUAAUUGAACUAAAUUAAUUAAACUAAAUUAAUUAACCUAAUUAAUCCUGUUUAAUUAACAUAAACCAUAAUUAACCUUAAACAGAGAAUGACAGGUGGGACCCGCGGGGCCCACACGUCAGGUUGACCAGGUCAACGGUCAACGUUGACUGCUGACGUCAGCAAAAACAAUUCUGGAUAAUGUUGAUUAAAUUAAUUAAAUAAAUCCUAAAAAUGUUUUAAAUCUUUUAAAAUUAAUAUAAAAUAAACCGUAGCUCGGAUGGAAAAACUUUGUACAUGAAAGUUGCUCAGAACGACGAGAUGAACCCGAAUACGUAGCCCGUUUGUCCGCCACGCAUCCCUAGCAUAGCGAACACGCAACUUUCCCCCUCUGAUUCUACUGUCUGAAAACGCAAAACACCGGGGAUACCUUCCCGGAUGUUCCCCCCCCCUUCGCCGGUAUCACCUCCUACCGCGUUAUGUCACACCCGGCACAGCUUAUUGCCAUGUUAUGCUUUGUGAUGCUAUGCUUGUUUUAUAUUUACUGUUUCUUCCCCCUCUUCUCUCCGGUAGACUCCGAGACCGAUGCCGCCCCUGUGAUCGACUACGUCGACGACGACACUUCUUCUUUUUCAGCAGAGCUUCCAGGCAAGCAAACCCCCCUUGAGCAUUCCGAUAUCGCCCAUUUCCUUCCCUCUCAUGCUUGCAUUAGGAACUGCUACUACUUUCUGUAUGAUCCUACUCUGAUGCAUAGCCUGUUGUUGUUACCUGCUUUCAUACCUUAUCUGCUUAUCCUAAACUGCUUAGUAUAGGUUGGUUAGUGAUCCAUCAGUGACCCCCAUCUUUCCCAGUUGCCCCGCUUUAUGUUCGUUGACUCGAUCAGCGUGAUCGAUGUCCAGGCCCCGAGACCGCACAUCACCCCCUAGUUGUACGACUCUAUAGAGUUAUCAUCGAGUGCCGAGGUUGAACCUCAUACAUCACUCCUAAUGAGAUCUCUAUAGUGUAGCUAUCCGGUCGUGGUCAUCGAGGGUGAUUUCCUCCUUAACCAUUUAUGAUACGGCUCUGUUGUGCAACCCCUCAAGUGUGAACCUCGAGGGUGGAUCCUCUUAUGUUCACCUUGAUGAUAACAUCGAGUGGAAUUCACCGGGGGUGAUUCCUCGGGUUUUUCCCUUGGUGUUAGACACAUAGUUACUAUGGUUACUAUGACUUUGCACUGAGCCAUGUUACUAAAGACGGGUCGACCCUGAGGGGUACUCGCGCGAGCUUAAUAGCGAGUGAUGUGGAGUCGGGUUGACCUGGAAGGUGCCCACGAGAUACUUACGAGGCGUGGCCGGGCAUUCUUCGCCCUUGCCGCAAGUACUCGAGACGGGGCGACGGGGUCACAUCAAUCGGGAGUCUCUGCUUGUUACCAUGUGCUCCUAAUCCACUACGAUUUGGAUAUUUGAUCCGAGGGGCCUCUGGCCUGAUAGCACUAACCAUCACGUGGGCAUUGUAUGGGCGUUCUGCGUCGUAUACAUCAGUCGAAGCUUAAUAGACGUCAGCGACUAAGCGGCGCGCGCCGGGUUGGACUGGUAAGCACCUACCUUGUUGAAGAAGGUAGUUAGGUCUGCUCACCGGCGCCCACGCAACAUGCAGGAGUUCCCGGGGACAUGGCCCAUGACCCCUGGGGGCAUAGGUUUAGUCCGGCGUGCUGACCUCUCUAUUGAGCCUAGGUCGGGUUGCGGCGUAUUGUUUGGCCGAGGCCGGGCAUGACCCAGGAAAGUGUGUCCGGCCGGAGUUAAUCGAGUGUGGUGGGUAAGUUGGUGCACCCUUGCAGGGAAGAAAACAUCUAUCGAUAGCCUGUCCUACGGUAACGGACACUUGGAGUUGUAUCCCGAUCGAUACAACUAGAACUAGAUACUUUUGAUGAGAAAUGGACUUGUGAGGAGACUUGGAUAUGAGAUGAUAACUGGAUAGUACAGCUCUGGGAUUGCUUUCUCGCAGGGAGUCGAGAAAGGAUCUCUGGCCGAGGUUGAUAACGCUUCUACUACUUUACUUUAUGCUACUCUACUCCCUCCUGUUGCCGCAAGAUGGUGGUUUCCAAAAGAUGCUAGUCUUUGAUAGGCUAGGUUUUCCCCUUCCCUUCUGGCAUUUUGCAGUUUAGUCCACAGAUACAACCCAUUCCUUUGAUACAGAUGCAUACUUAGUUUAGAUCUGAUGUAAGUCUUGCGAGUACUUUGGAUGAGUGCUCACGGUUGCUUUGCUACUUCUUUUCCCCC
rnacentral:lncRNA from 1 species